GCACUUGUGUCAGGUGUGUCUCAAAUGUCAGUUUGUUUAUUUUGUGUUUUAAAGUGUUUUCAGUUUCAUAACCCAGAGCAUAGUAUUUUGUUUUCCAAGUCUUACUGCUUUUACUUUUAAUCUUGUCUAAGAGGAAUUGAAGCAAAACUAACGUUUUUGAGGUACAAGAGAGUAAGGAACCCUAUGAAAAUGGCUAAGUCCUUUGCAGUAUAGGCAAAAUCAACUUCAUUCAUUCUUUUUAUUCUUUUGCUUUAAUAGCAUAAACCUAUUUUUCUGGCUAAUCGUGGAAAUAUUUGCUGAUUUAAAGGCUAGAAGACAUCAUUAAGAUAUGCUCAUCUAACCUCUUCUGUAAGCCAGACCAGAGAACAGAACUCUAAUCCCAGCAUCAUUCUUCUUGAGAUGGAGAGCACAGCCUUUAGAAAGACACUACAUUUCAUUUCAAGACUUUUAGUGUCAACAAAUUCAUUAUAUUAUCUGUGGUUCUUAGUAACACAAUGAAGGGACAGCGCCUGGUGUAUAAGGUAUACUCUAG
rnacentral:lncRNA from 1 species